UUGCCUCGCUAAAUAAACGUGGCCCUGGUCGUCUUCCCCAUCAGCCAGUCCAGUCCGAUCAGACACCUAGGGUUUCCCGAGCCGCCAGCCCACCCAUCACUGCCUCCCCUCCUCCGCCUAACUCCCGAACUCGCCUGCCACCGCCAUUGCCGCGGCUUCGCACGAAAUCCCCAAACACGACCAGAACCCUCCUCCGGGGCGCCAAGCCCGGCCGGAAUCGGCGAAGAACUUGAACGCUAUUCGGAGCAAGCGCCAUAAGACCGCGCGCGCACUCCCACUCUCCUUCUAAUUCCCGCUGAUUUGGACCACACGAUAAGAACAGAUCCACCAGUGCGCGUGUGUCGAACAGACUCAGAUCACUUGAUUUUGGUUCGGAUUCGAUUCGUGUGAUCUGCUUCUGUUGGUGACUAGGACAUGAUCCAAUCGGCGGUGUAUUUUGGGCACAUCUCCAUCGGGGAGGUGGAGCUGUGGCCCAAGGGGGAGAUGAACCUGGCAGCGGCGCCAUGGGUGCGGGAGAUCCGAGUGGACCGCCUCUCCCCGCCCAGCGAGCGGUGCCCGCCGCUCGCCGUCCUGCAAACCGUGUCCCCGAGUGGCCGCUGCCUCGUGAUGGAGUCGAGGCCGACAGCCCCAACGGACGAGCCCCCCACGCCGCUUGUCUCCAUGCACACCGCUUGCCUCAGAGACAAUAAGACAGCGGUUUUUCCACUUGGAGCAGAAGAGAUCCAUUUAGUGGCAAUGAAACCCAAGAGUAACUUGCCAAACCAUGCAUGCUUUUGGGGCUAUAAAGUACCGCUAGGCUUGUAUACUUCUUGCUUAAGUAUGUUGAAUCUUCGAUGCCUAGGCAUUGUGUUUGACCUUGAUGAAACACUAGUUGUUGCCAAUACCACACGGUCUUUUGAAGACAGAAUUGAUGCAAUCCAGAGAAAAUUGAGUAAUGAGUCUGAUCCGCAGCGUAUUAGUGGUAUGCUGGCAGAGAUCAAGAGGUACCAAGAUGACAGGUCAAUGCUAAAGCAGUAUAUAGAAAGCGAUCAAGUUACUGAUGGUGGGAAAGUGUAUAAAGCGCAAUCUGAGGUUGUCCCACCUUUAGCUGAUAGUCAUCAACCUAUGAUACGUCCUAUCAUAAGGCUACAAGAGAAAAGCAUUAUAUUCACACGUAUAAAUCCAUCGAUAAGAGACACCAGUGUUCUGGUAAGAUUAAGGCCUGCUUGGGAUGAUCUUCGGAGCUACUUGAUUGCAAGAGGUCGGAAACGUUUUGAGGUGUAUGUGUGCACUAUGGCUGAGAGGGACUAUGCCUUGGAAAUGUGGAGGUUGCUUGAUCCUGAUUCUAGACUGAUAAACUCUGUUCAACUUCCUCACAGGCUUGUCUGUGUCAAAUCUGGAUCUAGUAAGUCUUUGCUAAACGUAUUCCGUGAUGGAUCUUGCCACCCUGGAAUGGCCCUAGUGAUUGAUGAUCGUCUGAAAGUUUGGGAUGAGAAGGAUCAAUGUCGAGUUCAUGUUGUUCCUGCCUUCUCUCCAUAUUACGCUCCACAGGCAGAGGCAAACUUCCCUAUUCCAGUUCUCUGUGUCGCUAGGAAUGUUGCAUGCAAUGUUCGGGGUGGCUUCUUUAAGGAAUUUGAUGAGGGUCUCCUACCAUGGAUUAGUGAGGUUCAUUUUGAGGAUGAAUUAAAUGAUGUCCCUUCCGCUCCUGAUGUUGGUAAUUAUUUGAUUUCAGAGGAUGAAAAUUCUGCAAUUUCGAACGUGAACAAAGAUCCGCUGGCUUUUGAUGGUAUGGCAGAUGCAGAGGUUAAAAGGAGAAUGAAGGAAGCAGUUAGCAGUGUUCAAGCUGUGGAUCCAAUGACAACAAAUGCUGACAUGAUGUCAGUAGCUGCUAACCAACAAUUCAUUCCAUCUUCAUCUAUCCCGAUAGCACCACCACCGGGGAUGGUGCCUUUGAAUAAUAAUCAAGACCAUCAGCCUCCUUCAAUCAGCUGGCCAGUUGCUCAAUCUGGUCCUGGAGAUACCUUGCAAGGUUCUCCAGCUAGAGAAGAGGGUGAGGUUCCUGAGUCUGAGUUAGAUCCUGACACGAGGAGAAGGCUUCUGAUAUUACAGCAUGGCCAAGACACAAGAGACCCUUCGCCACCCUUUCCUGCAGAACCUUCUGUACAAGUCUCAGUUCCUCAAGUGCAAUCUCAGGGAAACUGGUUUCCUGUACAGGAUGAAAUGAACCCAAGAAACUUAAAUAGGACCUCAACAGGGUUCCAUUCAGAAUCUGAUGCUGUACAUAGUGAUAAAAAUCAACCACCACAUCAGUCAUACUUACCUGCUGGGGAUAAUCCUAUAUCUUCCGAUAGACUUAACUAUCAGAACCAGAGAUAUCCUUCUCAGCCGCCUCACAGUGAGGAUCAUCAUAUGCUUCAGAACCAGGCACCUACAACCUACAGAUCCUUUUCUGGAGAUGGCAUGGCAACCCAGCAUUUUCAUCCAGGUCACAGAAGCAGCCAAAUGGAGUCAGGGCGUCAAUUUGGACAUUAUACAGAGACAUCUGGUGCGGUGUUGGAGGGGAUUGCAGCAAAGUGUGGAUUUAAGGUGGAGUACCAGUCAACCCUAUGCGAUUCUGCCGAGUUGCGAUUCUCCAUUCAGAUUUGGAUUAUUGGAGAAAAAGUGGGUGAAGGAAUGGGAAGAACUAGGAAAGAAGCGCAACGGCAGGCUGCUAAUAUGUCUUUAAGAAAUUUGGCAGAUAAAUUUCUGUCGUUUGAUCCAGAUAAGUUGACAAUUCCGAAGGAUAAUGGUUUUUGUAGCAAUACAACCUCAUUCAAAUAUACAGGAAGUAGUAGAGAUGACAUGUUACCAGUCGCAAGCACUUCGGAUGAGUCUAGAUAUAUGCACGAGAGAGUUUAUAACUCAGCCAAAUCCGCUAGUUCUGUUGCUGCUCUCAAGGAGCUUUGUACAGCUGAGGGGUAUAACUUAGUUUUCCAAGCUCAGCCACCUCCAUCAGAUAGUUCGACAAGGAAAGAAGUUCAUGCUCAGAUCGAGAUAGAUGGGCAAAUCCUGGGUAAAGGAGUUGGAGCAACAUGGGAGGAAGCUAAGCUACAGGCUGCUGAUGGGGCUCUGAAAACGUUGAAAUACAUGCUUGGUCAACUUGCACAGAAACGGUCUGCAUCUCCAAGGUCAUUUGCAUCCAAUUUUAGUAAGCGCUUCAAGCCAGAUUUCCAGCCGACGGUACAAAGGAUUCCUCCUGGCAGAUAUUCUAGGAGUGACAGUUAUAUUCCUUGAUUGUUUUGUCUGAAUUAUGUGGACAUGGUUCAUCAGCAACUCAAUGCAAUCUGUGGCCUCUGAAGAACUUCCACAAUUGCAAGUCUUAGGGAGAUGGUUGUGAAGGCAAGAAACAACUGUACACACCAGUACUGUCAUGUUCUCGAUUUCGUCUUCUGCUUGCCUCACUAUCAUUUCCAAAGCUAAUUCCAACAGGUGUGUCUUGCAUGGAAUUGUCGCAAUGUGCUUCCCGAGUGAGCUCGUGAUGCUGUAAAUAUUAUUUGCCUCAGGCCGAAUGGCAGCUGGUUAAGAUUUUUUUUUUAAUAUUAUACAUCAGUUUUUACUGACAAUGAGUUGUUGACACAUGGAGUGAGAAUGCUGAACAACCACAGAGGAUCCAGGAACUUGCAAGAUUUUAACAGAGUCAAUGUACAGAGCACAAGAACUUCUUGCCCAGCCAACCAACAACCAGAAAUAGAGACGGAGUCAAUGUACACACCGGGGUUUUUCUGCACUUUCUUUUAUGGCUGGACCGUGUAGCACUCUCUUUGAUAGAUAAUGCCGAUCCAGGACAACGUGGAAUAAACAUGUCAACCUGUAAUCUCUUUGAUAGAUAAUUAGCGAAUCGUAGACUUGCUAGUUAUAGUAAUGAUCACCCGUUAAUCACAUAUCCCGGAGUAUUUCCCGUUUCCUGAA